CUCUUGAGCCAGCCAUGCAAACAAAAGGGAGCUUUGAUUGCUCUCCCCCUAAACAAAAUUAAUGGUGCCAAACCGUGCUAUUGGAUAACUCUUUAGAAUUCAUCGGAUUAUUUCCCCUACCUUGUUCAAUCUGCCAAUACUGACAGCCUUCCCUGGAACGUAUCCCGAGCUACGGGCCCGCUGGAAUAUGAGAGACCGUAGAGAUAGCCAGGAAAGAAUCGUGCCACACCCCCCGUCGCCGUGAAUUCAUUACAACUAGGUCACAAGUGUCCGGUCGCCAUGGCUGCUGAUACUGCUAGUGUCUUUGUGUU
rnacentral:sRNA from 13 species